rnacentral:rRNA from 1 species
GUGGGGAAUUUUGGACAAUGGGCGCAAGCCUGAUCCAGCCAUUCCGCGUGCAGGAUGAAGGCCCUCAGGGUUGUAAACGGCUUUUGACGGUGAAGAAUCGACAGGAUGCGUCCUGUUUUGACGGUAGCCGUUGAAUAAGCACCGGCUAACUACGUGCCAGCAGCCGCGGUAAUACGUAGGGUGCAAGCGUUAAUCGGAAUUACUGGGCGUAAAGCGUGCGCAGGCGGUUAUAUAAGACAGAUGUGAAAUCCCCGGGCUCAACCUGGGAACUGCAUUUGUGGCUGUAUAGCUAGAGUACGGUAGAGGGGGAUGGAAUUCCGCGUGUAGCAGUGAAAUGCGUAGAUAUGCGGAGGAACACCGAUGGCGAAGGCAAUCCCCUGGACCUGUACUGACGCUCAUGCACGAAAGCGUGGGGAGCAAACAGGAUUAGAAACCCGGGUAGUCC